rnacentral:tRNA from 1 species
UGGCACAGUCAUUAAAGCACUUGGUUGCUAACCAAGAGGUUGGUGGUUCAAACCCACU